AUGAAUACUCCGCUAACAAGAUGGGUAGCUGCUUUUCUUUGGAUUGCAGGAUGCUCAGAUGCCAACAUCAUCCAACCACAGAGCAUGAUUCUGGAAGAAGGUCAAGAUGCUAGAUUGGAAUGUAGACAAGACUAUGGACAUCGUAAUAUGCUUUGGUUUCGGCAGCAUAAACAGCAGCAGGAUUUUCAGCUCCUCUAUAGUUUCUAUAAUGGUAACAUCCUGCAGAAAAAUCCAUCUUUGCACCGUCUGAAUGCUGACCAACCUAUGCUGGAUCGCUGUCUUUUGAGUAUAUCAGCUGUGAAGCCAGAGGAUUCAGCAGUGUACUUCUGUGCAAGCAGUUAA